rnacentral:tRNA from 1 species
GUCGCGGUGGCCGAGUGGUUAAGGCGUUGGACUCGAAAUCCAAUGGGGUUUCCCCGCGCAGGUUCGAAUCCUGCCCUCGACG